AGGGUCCGAGUUGUAAUUUGUAGAAGAUGCUUCGGGUGUGGCUCCGGUCUAAGUUCCUUGGAACAGGACGUCAUAGAGGGUGAGAAUCCCGUAUGUGACUGGCUGCCUUCGCCUAUGUGAAGCUCUUUCGACGAGUCGAGUUGUUUGGGAAUGCAGCUCAAAAUGGGUGGUAAAUUUCAUCUAAAGCUAAAUAUUGGCCAGAGACCGAUAGCGCACAAGUAGAGUGAUCGAAAGAUGAAAAGCACUUUGGAAAGAGAGUUAAACAGUACGUGAAAUUGUUGAAAGGGAAGCGCUUGCAACCAGACUUGCACGCGGUUGAUCAUCCGGUGUUCUCACCGGUGCACUUGACCGCGUUCAGGCCAGCAUCGGUUCCGGUGGUGGGAUAAAGGCCUUGGGAAUGUAGCUUCUUUCGGGGAGUGUUAUAGCCCUCGGUGCAAUGCCACCUACCUGGACCGAGGACCGCGCUUCGGCUAGGAUGCUGGCGUAAUGGUUGUAAGCGACCCGUCUUGAAACACGGACCAAGGAGUCUAACAUCUAUGCGAGUGUUUGGGUGUCAAACCCAUACGCGUAAUGAAAGUGAACGGAGGUGAGAACCCUCAAGGGUGCAUCAUCGACCGAUCCUGAUGUCUUCGGAUGGAUUUGAGUAAGAGCAUAGCUGUUGGGACCCGAAAGAUGGUGAACUAUGCCUGAAUAGGGUGAAGCCAGAGGAAACUCUGGUGGAGGCUCGCAGCGGUUCUGACGUGCAAAUCGAUCGUCAAAUUUGGGUAUAGGGGCGAAAGACUAAUCGAACCAUUUGCUACUACGGUGGUUAAGAGGGGGCAGAAAUGCUACCUUAGUCCAGGCUCGUGGGCGACACUAUCAAAAUGCCGGGGACAUCUUGUUGGACUCUAAGCUACCGCAGCCUUCUCGAAAGAGACGGCACGCACCAGGUUAAUGCCCUCGGGGAUGGUAAUAACGCUUAGAUAGAGACAAUCCGCAGCCAAGUUCUACGGGUACACUGUACCUACGAAUGCAGUUCACAGACUAAAUGGUAGUGGGCCCAGUAAUACAUAUUACUAGGCUUAAGUUAUAGUCGAUAUAUAAGCUAGUAGCUGGUUCCUGCCGAAGUUUCCCUCAGGAUAGCAGUGUUGAAUUCAGUUUUAUGAGGUAAAGCGAAUGAUUAGAGGCCUUGGGGUUGAAACAACCUUAACCUAUUCUCAAACUUUAAAUAUGUAAGAAGUCCUUGUUACUUAAUUGAACGUGGACAUUCGAAUGUACCAACACUAGUGGGCCAUUUUUGGUAAGCAGAACUGGCGAUGCGGGAUGAACCGAACGUGAAGUUAAGGUGCCGGAAUAUACGCUCAUCAGACACCACAAAAGGUGUUAGUUCAUCUAGACAGCAGGACGGUGGCCAUGGAAGUCGGAAUCCGCUAAGGAGUGUGUAACAACUCACCUGCCGAAUGAACUAGCCCUGAAAAUGGAUGGCGCUUAAGCGUAUUACCCAUACUUCACCGCC
rnacentral:rRNA from 1 species